GGUUAAGUUAGAAAGGGCGCACGGUGGAUGCCUUGGCACUAGGAGCCGAUGAAGGACGGGACGAACACCGAUAUGCUUCGGGGAGCUGUAAGCAAGCUUUGAUCCGGAGAUUUCCGAAUGGGGAAACCCACCACUCGUAAUGGAGUGGUAUCCAUAUCUGAAUACAUAGGAUAUGAGAAGGCAGACCCGGGGAACUGAAACAUCUAAGUACCCGGAGGAAGAGAAAGCAAAUGCGAUUCCCUGAGUAGCGGCGAGCGAAACGGGACCAGCCCAAACCAAGAGGCUUGCCUCUUGGGGUUGUAGGACACUCUGUACGGAGUUACAAAGGAACGAGGUAGAUGAAGAGGUCUGGAAAGGCCCGCCAUAGAAGGUAACAGCCCUGUAGUCAAAACUUCGUUCUCUCCUGAGUGGAUCCUGAGUACGGCGGAACACGUGAAAUUCCGUCGGAAUCCGGGAGGACCAUCUCCCAAGGCUAAAUACUCCCUAGUGACCGAUAGUGAACCAGUACCGUGAGGGAAAGGUGAAAAGCACCCCGGAAGGGGAGUGAAAGAGAUCCUGAAACCGUGUGCUUACAAGUAGUCAGAGCCCGUUAACGGGUGAUGGCGUGCCUUUUGUAGAAUGAACCGGCGAGUUACGAUCCCGUGCAAGGUUAAGCAGAAGAUGCGGAGCCGCAGCGAAAGCGAGUCUGAAUAGGGCGAAUUGAGUACGUGGUCGUAGACCCGAAACCAGGUGAUCUACCCAUGUCCAGGGUGAAGUUCAGGUAACACUGAAUGGAGGCCCGAACCCACGCACGUUGAAAAGUGCGGGGAUGAGGUGUGGGUAGGGGUGAAAUGCCAAUCGAACCUGGAGAUAGCUGGUUCUCUCCGAAAUAGCUUUAGGGCUAGCCUCAAGGUAAGAGUCUCGGAGGUAGAGCACUGAUUGGACUAGGGGCCCCUACCGGGUUACCGAAUUCAGUCAAACUCCGAAUGCCGAUGACUUAUCCUUGGGAGUCAGACUGCGAGUGAUAAGAUCCGUAGUCGAAAGGGAAACAGCCCAGACCGCCAGCUAAGGUCCCAAAGUAUACGUUAAGUGGAAAAGGAUGUGGAGUUGCUUAGACAACCAGGAUGUUGGCUUAGAAGCAGCCACCAUUUAAAGAGUGCGUAAUAGCUCACUGGUCGAGUGACUCUGCGCCGAAAAUGUACCGGGGCUAAACGUAUCACCGAAGCUGCGGACUGUUCUUCGAACAGUGGUAGGAGAGCGUUCUAAGGGCUGUGAAGCAAGACCGGAAGGACUUGUGGAGCGCUUAGAAGUGAGAAUGCCGGUAUGAGUAGCGAAAGAGGGGUGAGAAUCCCCUCCACCGAAUGCCUAAGGUUUCCUGAGGAAGGCUCGUCCGCUCAGGGUUAGUCGGGACCUAAGCCGAGGCCGAAAGGCGUAGGCGAUGGAUAACAGGUUGAUAUUCCUGUACCACCUCCUCACCAUUUGAGCAAUGGGGGGACGCAGGAGGAUAGGGUAAGCGCGGUAUUGGAUAUCCGCGUCCAAGCAGUUAGGCUGGGAAAUAGGCAAAUCCGUUUCCCGUGAAGGCUGAGCUGUGAUGGCGAGCGAAUUAUAGUAGCGAAGUUCCUGAUUCCACACUGCCAAGAAAAGCCUCUAGCGAGGUGAGAGGUGCCCGUACCGCAAACCGACACAGGUAGGCGAGGAGAGAAUCCUAAGGUGAUCGAGAGAACUCUCGUUAAGGAACUCGGCAAAAUGACCCCGUAACUUCGGGAGAAGGGGUGCUCUGUUAGGGUGCAAGCCCGAGAGAGCCGCAGUGAAUAGGCCCAGGCGACUGUUUAGCAAAAACACAGGUCUCUGCGAAGCCGUAAGGCGAAGUAUAGGGGCUGACGCCUGCCCGGUGCUGGAAGGUUAAGAGGAGCGCUUAGCGUAAGCGAAGGUGCGAAUUGAAGCCCCAGUAAACGGCGGCCGUAACUAUAACGGUCCUAAGGUAGCGAAAUUCCUUGUCGGGUAAGUUCCGACCCGCACGAAAGGCGCAACGAUCUGGGCACUGUCUCAACGAGAGACUCGGUGAAAUUAUAGUACCUGUGAAGAUGCAGGUUACCCGCGACAGGACGGAAAGACCCCGUGGAGCUUUACUGCAGCCUGAUAUUGAAUGUUGGUACAGCUUGUACAGGAUAGGUAGGAGCCUUGGAAACCGGAGCGCCAGCUUCGGUGGAGGCAUCGGUGGGAUACUACCCUGGCUGUAUUGACCUUCUAACCCGCCGCCCUUAUCGGGCGGGGAGACAGUGUCAGGUGGGCAGUUUGACUGGGGCGGUCGCCUCCUAAAAGGUAACGGAGGCGCCCAAAGGUUCCCUCAGAAUGGUUGGAAAUCAUUCGCAGAGUGUAAAGGCACAAGGGAGCUUGACUGCGAGACCUACAAGUCGAGCAGGGACGAAAGUCGGGCUUAGUGAUCCGGUGGUUCCGCAUGGAAGGGCCAUCGCUCAACGGAUAAAAGCUACCCCGGGGAUAACAGGCUUAUCUCCCCCAAGAGUCCACAUCGACGGGGAGGUUUGGCACCUCGAUGUCGGCUCAUCGCAUCCUGGGGCUGUAGUCGGUCCCAAGGGUUGGGCUGUUCGCCCAUUAAAGCGGUACGCGAGCUGGGUUCAGAACGUCGUGAGACAGUUCGGUCCCUAUCCGUCGCGGGCGCAGGAAAUUUGAGAGGAGCUGUCCUUAGUACGAGAGGACCGGGAUGGACGCACCGCUGGUGUACCAGUUGUUCUGCCAAGGGCAUCGCUGGGUAGCUAUGUGCGGACGGGAUAAGUGCUGAAAGCAUCUAAGCAUGAAGCCCCCUCAAGAUGAGAUUUCCCAUUCCGCAAGGAAGUAAGAUCCCUGAAAGAUGAUCAGGUUGAUAGGUCUGAGGUGGAAGUGUGGCGACACAUGGAGCUGACAGAUACUAAUCGAUCGAGGACUUAACCAA
rnacentral:rRNA from 1 species